rnacentral:tRNA from 1 species
GCGGGUGUAAUUCAGUGGUAGAAUGCAAGCUUCCCAAGCUUGAUGUCGCCGGUUCGAUCCCGGUCGCCCGCU